ACCCUCCAGAGUCCUUCCUUACCCUCAGAUCUCAACCCUGGUCUGCGUGGCUGAAAAAGGAGGGAACAUAAAACUGAAGGGCCUUGGGGUCUUUAACAAUACACAAGUUUAUUUCGAACAUUU
rnacentral:snoRNA from 1 species